rnacentral:rRNA from 1 species
CGCGUAAGCGUGGAGGAAGGUGGGGAUGACGUCAAGUCAGCACGGCCUUACGUCCUGGGCUACACACGUGCUACAAUGGACGAGACAGUGGGCAGCUACAUAGUAAUAUGAUGCUAAUCUCCAAACUCGUUCUCAGUUCGGAUUGAGGUCUGCAACUCGACCUCAUGAAGCUGGAUUCGCUAGUAAUCGGAUAUCAGCAAUGAUCCGGUGAAUACGUUCCCGGGCCUUGUACACACCGCCCGUC